UACAGGAGGGGCAAGCGUUAUUCGGAAUUAUUGGCGUAAAGGGCGCGUAGGCGGCUUGGCAAGUGGAAGGUGAAAUCCCUACGGCUUAACCGAGGAACUGCCCUCCAAAACUGCUUUGCUUGAGGCCGGGAGAGGUGAGUGGAAUUCCCAGGUGUAGCGGUGAAAUGCGUAGAUAUUGGGAGGAACACCAGUGGCGAAGGCGGCUCGACUGGACCGGUUCGUGACGCUGAUGCGCGAAAGCGUGGGGAGCAAACGGG
rnacentral:rRNA from 1 species